GACGAACGCUGGCGGCGUGCCUAAUACAUGCAAGUAGAACGCUGAAGAGAGGAGCUUGCUCUUCUUGGAUGAGUUGCGAACGGGUGAGUAACGCGUAGGUAACCUGCCUCGUAGCGGGGGAUAACUAUUGGAAACGAUAGCUAAUACCGCAUAACAAUGGAUGACACAUGUCAUUUAUUUGAAAGGGGCAAUUGCUCCACUACAAGAUGGACCUGCGUUGUAUUAGCUAGUAGGUGAGGUAAUGGCUCACCUAGGCGACGGUACAUAGCCGACCUGAGAGGGUGAUCGGCCACCCUGGGACUGAGACACGGCCCAGACUCCUACGGGAGGCAGCAGUAGGGAAUCUUCGGCAAUGGGGGCAACCCUGACCGAGCAACGCCGCGUGAGUGAAGAAGGUUUUCGGAUCGUAAAGCUCUGUUGUAAGUCAAGAACGGGUGUGAGAGUGGAAAGUUCACACUGUGACGGUAGCUUACCAGAAAGGGACGGCUAACUACGUG
rnacentral:rRNA from 1 species